GCGCCAGUAGCUCAGAAGGAUAGAGCAACUGCCUUCUAAGCAGUGGGUCGGGGGUUCGACUCCUCCCUGGCGCG
rnacentral:tRNA from 2 species